rnacentral:rRNA from 1 species
AGCUCCAAUAGCGUAUAUUAAAGUUGUUGCAGUUAAAAAGCUCGUAGUUGGAUUUGUGGCGUACGGUGGGUUCCGGGCACUUGUUGUCUGAGUAACUUGCUGUUGCCAUCCUUGGGUGGAACCUGUGUGGCAUUAGGUUGUCGUGCAGGGGAUGCCCAUCAUUUACUGUGAAAAAAUUAGAGUGUUCAAAGCAGGCUUAUGCCGUUGAAUAUAUUAGCAUGGAAUAAUAAGAUAGGACUUUUUUGCUAUUUUGUUGGUUUGCGCAAAGAGGUAAUGAUUAAUAGGGACAGUUGGGGGUAUUCGUAUUCCAUUGUCAGAGGUGAAAUUCUUGGAUUUUUGGAAGACGAACUACUGCGAAAGCAUUUACCAAGGAUGUUUUCA